ACAGUCAUAUCACAUUUAAACACCAGUUCUCAUAUGAUCACCAAAGUUAAGCAACAUCAAGUCUGGUCAGUACCUAGAUAGGUGACCUCUUGGAAAUACCAGGUGCUGUAAG